rnacentral:lncRNA from 1 species
GGGUCUAUUGGAAUUUAGGAGCAUAGGAAUUGAUGCAUAAUUGUUGCUCCAAAAUUUGAUUUUGAUGACUGCAAAAUAUUUGAGAGGAGUAUUAAUGAUUUUUGUUUGUAGAGAAGCUUAAAUGUGUAUUUUAGGAUAUUCAAGAAUUUUUGAAUGGAUAAAAUGCUUGAAGAAGACCAAAGCUACAAUUUCAUCAAGUUGG